UACGGAGGGUGCGAGCGUUGUCCGGAAUCACUGGGCGUAAAGGGUGCGUAGGCGGCGCGGUAAGUCGGGUGUGAAAUCUCGGGGCUUAACUCCGAAACUGCAUUCGAUACUGCCGUGCUUGAGGACUGGAGAGGAGACUGGAAUUUACGGUGUAGCGGUGAAAUGCGUAGAUAUCAGGAGGAACACCGGUGGCGAAGGCGGUUCUCUGGGCCUGUACUGACGCUGAGGAGCGAAAGCGUGGGGAGCGAACAGG
rnacentral:rRNA from 1 species